AGUAGUGUGGCAUGGUGGUUUGAGUGUUGGACUACCGCUCUGGAGACCAGGGUUCGAAUCCUGGCUUGGCCA